rnacentral:lncRNA from 10 species
CUGAAUAGAACAGUAUGUAUAAGGUCAAGGAACAGUACAAUGUUUCAAACAGGACAGGUGCAAGGUUAAUGUUGUCUACUAUGUACAGAAGAAAAAUGAAAUGGCCUUUUGAAUGAAUUGAAUAGUCUUUCACAGGUAACAAAGAACUUAUGUCCAGUUAAAAGUUGAAAAUUUUAAGAGAAGUAGCCAAUAUUUGAGAGUGAGCAUGCCAGUGGCACACAUGAAGCAAAGUGGGCAAGGCCUAAGGAAAAUAUGCAAUGUAAAAGAGCAAGGUUUGGAGGCUGGGAAGCUCAAGAUCAAGGUACCAAUAUCUGUCAAGGCCUUCUUGCUGUGUCAUC